GGGGAAUAUUGCGCAAUGGGCGGAAGCCUGACGCAGCGACGCCGCGUGGGGGAUGACGGCCUUCGGGUUGUAAACCUCUUUCAGCGGGGACGAAGCCCUUUGGGGUGACGGUACCUGCAGAAGAAGCGCCGGCUAACUACGUGCCAGCAGCCGCGGUAAUACGUAGGGCGCGAGCGUUGUCCGGAAUUAUUGGGCGUAAAGAGCUCGUAGGCGGUUUGUCGCGUCGGAUGUGAAAGCCCAUGGCUUAACUGUGGGUCUGCAUUCGAUACGGGCAGACUAGAGGUAGGUAGGGGAGCAUGGAAUUCCCGGUGUAGCGGUGAAAUGCGCAGAUAUCGGGAGGAACACCGGUGGCGAAGGCGGUGCUCUGGGCCUUACCUGACGCUGAGGAGCGAAAGCGUGGGGAGCGAAC
rnacentral:rRNA from 1 species